rnacentral:lncRNA from 1 species
UGAGAGCGCCGGGGAGGCGGGACGGGGCUGCGGCGGCCAAGAGCGCGGAGGGCCGGCGAGUCUGGGAAGCCCGGCGGAGAGGAGAAGCCGCUGGCGAGGAGAGACCGUCCCGGGAAUGCUGCUACCCCCGCGCCGCGGAGGAGCCGGAUCCCGACCCCGACCGCGCGAGAUCCCUCAAGGAAGGACCCCUUGAAGGAGAUAGUUUAAAUGUGUGACAUCACUGCAGGGAAAUCCCUGCAAGUUAACCAUCUUCUUGCUUGGUACCUUGCUUCUAUCAGGGAUGAUGAUUCACCUAAUCCUGAAUAUGUAAGCUCUCCUGGUGAUGGAGGAAACAAGAAAAACUGAAAGUUAAUCCUGGAGACGAGGAUAUACAAUUUUAAUUUGAAGAGUUUUUUUCAGAAUGAAAACCACAUUGAGUUAUCUUGAUGAGUGC